rnacentral:tRNA from 1 species
GACACUUUGCCGGAGUGGUUAACGGGUGCCCCUGCUACUCCCAGCAUAGGGUAUGGUCUCAGACCGCGUGUGUUCGAAUCGCACAGGUGUCG